rnacentral:tRNA from 1 species
UCCCUGGUGGCCCAGAUGGUAGAGAAUCUGCCUACAAUGCAGAAGGCCCAGGUUUGAUCCCUGGGUUGGGAA